GACGAACGCUGGCGGCGUGCUUAACACAUGCAAGUCGAACGGAAAGGCCCUGCUUGCAGGGUACUCGAGUGGCGAACGGGUGAGUAACAGGUGGGUGAUCUGCCCUGUACUUCGGGGUAAGCCUGGGAAACUGGGUCUAAUACCGGAUAGGAGCCAUUUUCUGUGUGAUGAUUGGAAAGAUUUUGCGGUGUAGGAUGAGCUCGUGGCCUAUCAGCUUGUUGGUGGGGUAGUGGCCUACCAAGGCGGCGACGGGUAGCCGGCCUGAGAGGGUGGACGGCCACCAUGGUACUGAGAUACGGACCAGACUCCUACGGGAGGCAGCAGUGGGGAAUAUUGCACAAUGGGCGCAAGCCUGAUGCAGCGACGCCGCGUGGGGAUGACGGCCUUCGUGUUGUAAACUCCUUUCGCUAGGGACGAAGCUUUUUGUGACGGUACCUAGAGAAGAAGCACCGGCUAACUACGUG
rnacentral:rRNA from 1 species